CUGAGCGAGACUACGGAAGCCGGAAUGAGUGGGCUGUGGGGUUUGAGUGAGUGAUAAGGUGAAGCCUCACUGGAUCCGUGACAAGAGUGGAAGGGGUCAGGAGAAGUGAGGAAAUCAGUCUUGCAUCUCAUUUGGGUGAAACUAGUCUCACGUAUGGAUCUUCUCAAGGUGCUAGUCUAAAUCCUGGAGAUACAAAGAUGAAGGAAACAAGGAUGCAGGAACACCAUGGUUAUUGAGUGGUUCAUGGUCCACUGGUGGAAUAAACAUGAGAAGAAAUAAAAAUGACACAGUGGUAAGAGCCAUACAUCGCACAGUGCCAGAUCCAGUGAGUAAGGUGAAUGAGGACGCACCACAGUGUUUUUGUUUACAGGAAUUGCUGUAAAUGUUUGAUCGAAUUGGGGGCUGUUCAAAAAUAUAGGGAAUGUUUAAACUUUAUUACAGUAAAAAACACACUAUUAAUUAAAUCAACAUGCUCACAAUA